rnacentral:rRNA from 1 species
CCCAAAGCGUAACGGAGGAGCACGAAGGUUAGCUAAUCCUGGUCGGACAUCAGGAGGUUAGUGCAAUGGCAUAAGCUAGCUUGACUGCGAGCGUGACGGCGCGAGCAGGUGCGAAAGCAGGUCAUAGUGAUCCGGUGGUUCUGAAUGGAAGGGCCAUCGCUCAACGGAUAAAAGGUACUCCGGGGAUAACAGGCUGAUACCGCCCAAGAGUUCAUAUCGACGGCGGUGUUUGGCACCUCGAUGUCGGCUCAUCACAUCCUGGGGCUGAAGUAGGUCCCAAGGGUAUGGCUGUUCGCCAUUUAAAGUGGUACGCGAGCUGGGUUUAGAACGUCGUGAGACAGUUCGGUCCCUAUCUGCCGUGGGCGCUGGAGAAUUGAGGGGGGCUGCUCCUAGUACGAGAGGACCGGAGUGGACGCAUCACUGGUGUUCGG